UGAAUACGAGAUGCUACGGCGUCGAAGCAGUCUAUGUCAUACUUCCAAGAAAAGCUUGCACUGUCAUAAACAAAUAAUGCCUGUACCAUAACCGACACAGGUGGGUAGGUAGAGUAUACUAAGGGGCGCGAGAUAACUCUCUCUAAGGAACUCGGCAAAAUGACUCCGUAACUUCGGGAGAAGGAGUGCCUUAUUUAUAAGGUUGCAAUAACAAGAUCCAAGCAACUGUUUACCAAAACACAGGUCUCCGCUAAGUCGUAAGACGAUGUAUGGGGGCUGACGCCUGCCCAGUGCCAGAAGGUUAAAGAAGUUGGUUAGCAUCCGCGAAGCUGAUAACUGAAGCCCUGGUGAACGGCGGCCGUAACAAUAACGGUCCUAAGGUAGCGAAAUUCCUUGUCGGGUAAGUUCCGACCCGCACGAAAGGCGUAAUGAUUUGGAUACUGUCUCGGAGAGGGGCUCGGUGAAAUAGACUUGUCUGUGAAGAUGCGGACUACCUGCACCAGGACAGAAAGACCCUAUGAAGCUUUACUGUAACCUGAAAUUGAAAUUGGACUUUACUUGCGCAGUAUAGGUGGGAGGCGUUGAGAAUAUUCUUGCGGGAUUAUUGGAGCCAUCAGUGAGAUACCACUCUUGUAAUGUUAGAUUUCUAACUUUGUAUCAUUAUCUGGUCAAAGAACAGUUUCAGGCGGGCAGUUUGACUGGGGCGGUCGCCUCCUAAACGGUAACGGAGGCGCACAAAGGUUUCCUCUGAACGGGUAGAAAUCGUAUCUAGAGUGUAAAGGCAUAAGGAAGCUUGACUGUGAGACCUACAAGUCGAGCAGGGACGAAAGUCGGUCUUAGUGAUCUGACGGUGCUGAGUGGAAAGGCCGUCACUCAACGGAUAAAAGUUACUCUAGGAUAACAGGCUGAUCUCCCCCAAGAGUUCACAUCGACGGGGAGGUUUGGCACCUCGAUGUCGGCUCAUCGCAUCCUGGGGCGGUAGUACGUCCCAAGGGUUGGGCUGUUCGCCCAUGAAAGCGGUACGCGAGCUGGGUUCAGAACGUCGUGAGACAGUUCGGUCCAUAUCCGGUGUAGGCGUUAGAAUAUUGAGAGGAGCCUUCUUUAGUACGAGAGGACCGAGAAGGACAUACCUCUGGUGUACCAGUUAUCGUGCCAACGGUAAACGCUGGGUAGCUAUGUGUGGAGUGGAUAACCGCUGAAAGCAUCUAAGUGGGAAGCCCACCUCAAGAUAAG
rnacentral:rRNA from 1 species